UGGCGGACGGGUGAGUAAUGCUUGGGAAUCUAGCUUAUGGAGGGGGAUAACUACGGGAAACUGUAGCUAAUACCGCGUAGAAUCGGGAGAUGAAAGUGUGGGACCUUCGGGCCACAUGCCAUAGGAUGAGCCCAAGUGGGAUUAGGUAGUUGGUGAGGUAACGGCCCACCAAGGCGACGAUCGGUAGCCGGACUGAGAGGUUGAACGGCCACAUUGGGACUGAGACACGGCCCAG
rnacentral:rRNA from 1 species